rnacentral:rRNA from 1 species
GCUUGUCUCAAAGAUUAAGCCAUGCAUGUCUCAGUAUAAGCUUGUGCAUAGUGAAACUGCGAACGGCUCAUUAUAACAGUUAUAAUUUGUUUGGUGUUCAAGUUUACAUGGGUAACUGUGGCAAUUCUAGAGCUAAUACAUGCAUGAACCCCCGACUUUUGAAGGGGUGUAUUUAUUAGAUUGAAACCAAUGCGGGUUCCCCGGUAUUUGGUGAUUCAUAAUAACUUUCGGAUCGACUUCGGUCGAUGCAUCAUUCAAGUUUCUGCCCUAUCAGCUUUGGAUGGUAGGGUAUUGGCCUACCAUGGCUUUAACGGGUAACGGAGAAUUAGGGUUCGAUUCCGGAGAGGGAGCCUGAGAAAUGGCUACCACAUCCAAGGAAGGCAGCAGG